AGUGUGAAGGCAUAGAGCCUUCACUUUUGUACACCGUAAGGUGGUGCACGAAUAAGGACUGGGCAAGACCGGUGCCAGCCGCCGCGGUAAUACCGGCAGUCCGAGUGAUGGCCGAUCUUAUUGGGCCUAAAGCGUCCGUAGCUGGCUGAACAAGUCCGUUGGGAAAUCUGUCCGCUUAACGGGCAGGCGUCCAGCGGAAACUGUUCAGCUUGGGACCGGAAGACCUGAGGGGUACGUCUGGGGUAGGAGUGAAAUCCUGUAAUCCUGGACGGACCGCCGGUGGCGAAAGCGCCUCAGGAGAACGGAUCCGACAGUGAGGGACGAAAGCUAGGGUCUCGAACCGGAUUAGAUACCCGGGUAGUCCUAGCUGUAAACGAUGUCCGCUAGGUGUGGCGCAGGCUACGAGCCUGUGCUGUGCCGUAGGGAAGCCGAGAAGCGGACCGCCUGGGAAGUACGUCUGCAAGGAUGAAACUUAAAGGAAUUGGCGGGGGAGCACUACAACCGGAGGAGCCUGCGGUUUAAUUGGACUCAACGCCGGACAUCUCACCAGCCCCGACAGUAGUAAUGACGGUCAGGUUGAUGACCUUACCCGAGGCUACUGAGAGGAGGUGCAUGGCCGCCGUCAGCUCGUACCGUGAGGCGUCCUGUUAANUCAGGCAACGAGCGAGACCCGCACUCNUAAUUGCCAGCAGUACCCUUUGGGUAGCUGGGUACAUUAGGUGGACUGCCGCUGCCAAAGCGGAGGAAGGAACGGGCAACGGUAGGUCAGUAUGCCCCGAAUGGGNUGGGCAACACGCGGGCUACAAUGGUCGAGACAAUGGGAAGCCACUCCG
rnacentral:rRNA from 1 species